AUUGAACGCUGGCGGCAGGCCUAACACAUGCAAGUCGAGCGGAUGAAGGGAGCUUGCUCCUGGAUUCAGCGGCGGACGGGUGAGUAAUGCCUAGAAAUCUGCCUGGUAGUGGGGGAUAACGUCCGGAAACGGGCGCUAAUACCGCAUACGUCCUGCGGGAGAAAGUGGGGGAUCUUCGGACCUCACGCUAUCAGAUGAGCCUAGGUCGGAUUAGCUAGUUGGUGGGGUAAAGGCCUACCAAGGCGACGAUCCGUAACUGGUCUGAGAGGAUGAUCAGUCACACUGGAACUGAGACACGGUCCAGACUCCUACGGGAGGCAGCAGUGGGGAAUAUUGGACAAUGGGCGAAAGCCUGAUCCAGCCAUGCCGCGUGUGUGAAGAAGGUCUUCGGAUUGUAAAGCACUUUAAGUUGGGAGGAAGGGCAGUAAGUUAAUACCUUGCUGUUUUGACGUUACCAACAGAAUAAGCACCGGCUAACUUCGUG
rnacentral:rRNA from 1 species